UACGUAGGGACCGAGCGUUGUCCGGAUUCAUUGGGCGUAAAGAGUUCGUAGGCGGCUGCUCAAGUCGAAUGUGAAAACUCGAGGCUCAACCUCGAGCCUGCAUUCGAUACUGGGCGGCUAGAGUCUGGUAGGGGGAUCUGGAAUUCCUGGUGUAGCGGUAGAAUGCGCAGAUAUCAGGAGGAACACCGGUGGCGAAGGCGGGAUUCUGGACCGACAUUGACGCUGAGGAGCGAAAGCCAGGGGAGCAAACGGG
rnacentral:rRNA from 1 species